CCCACAAGGAGGCGAGAACUGCAUACUGCACUUUGGCACUCCAUGACAAGGACAACUUUACAUGCUCCAGAAAUCUGCAGAAAUUCAACAGAGGUUUUGCUAUGCUUUCUGCUCGUCUUUGCCUUCAAACAAAACCAUGUUCAAUGGAGACAGACAACAGGAUUUCCCCAAGGAAUGCACUGAAAUACUGUUAUGUCUUUGCCUGUUCUUGGCUGAUUGAGAUAUUAAUUAAUUAUGGGAAUAAGCCUAGGAAAAUAAAG